rnacentral:rRNA from 1 species
CCCGCACAAGCGGUGGAGCAUGUGGUUUAAUUCGAUGAUACGCGAGGAACCUUACCUGGGCUCAAAUGUAUGUUGACGUAUUCUGAAAGGGAUACUUCUUCGGACAAUAUACAAGGUGCUGCAUGGUUGUCGUCAGCUCGUGCCGUGAGGUGUCGGGUUAAGUCCCAUAACGAGCGCAACCCCUAUCAUUAGUUGCCAUCAGGUCAAGCUGGGGACUCUAAUGAAACUGCCUACGCAAGUAGUGAGGAAGGUGGGGAUGACGUCAAAUCAGCACGGCCCUUACGUCCAGGGCUACACACGUGCUACAAUGGCCGGUACAAAGGGCAGCUACCUGGUGACAGGAUGCUAAUCUCAAAAGCCGGUCUCAGUUCGGAUCGGAGUCUGCAACCCGACUCCGUGAAGCUGGAAUUGCUAGUAAUCGCGCAUCAGCCAUGGCGCGGUGAAUACGUUCCCGGGCCUU